AGUGAGGAAUAUUGGUCAAUGGGCGCAAGCCUGAACCAGCCAUGCCGCGUGCAGGAUGACGGUCCUAUGGAUUGUAAACUGCUUUUGUACAGGAAGAAACAGUUCUACGUGUAGAGCCUUGACGGUACUGUAAGAAUAAGGAUCGGCUAACUCCGUGCCAGCAGCCGCGGUAAUACGGAGGAUCCAAGCGUUAUCCGGAAUCAUUGGGUUUAAAGGGUCCGUAGGCGGUUUAGUAAGUCAGUGGUGAAAGCCCAUCGCUCAACGGUGGAACGGCCAUUGAUACUGCUAGACUUGAAUUAUUGGGAAGUAACUAGAAUAUGUAGUGUAGCGGUGAAAUGCUUAGAGAUUACAUGGAAUACCAAUUGCGAAGGCAGGUUACUACCAAUGGAUUGACGCUGAUGGACGAAAGCGUGGGGAGCGAA
rnacentral:rRNA from 1 species